rnacentral:misc_RNA from 1 species
CUCAAUACGACCAUCCUCGUCUCUGCGCAACCGUCCGGCCAUCGGGUAAAACGGAACCAGGGCCUUACUCAGGGCUUCCUUCACCACAUUUGGAUCGAAGAAGUUAGGAGCACCAGUCGGUCUGUAGAAGUAGACGCUCGGGGUGUGGAAUCUCGGCACAACAAGGUCGACGUUCGCGUUCCACAAACACCGCCGUGGCGUCUCCUCCGCCGGCUGCACCAGCGAUGACUCCUUCACGUUGAUAAUCAUAAUUGCAGUUGGUGGGUUGCUAGUGGGUCCUACACGCGCAGAGCACUUUGACUGCGGUUUGUUUGGGUGGAAACAAAUAAGCAGACGGAAACCUGUCCUUCCCUUCCCAAAUCCCAAUAAGUUAAAAAUAUGAAAGCCCGUACACUGCAAUAGAAUUGAAGACAGGUACGAGAACAGAGGGAAAUGAUAUGAUGCAGACAGAGGAAAAAGAGAGGAAGAUUUAGCUGUGAAGUGGAAGGAGGUGUUUGGUACGGAAUGAGAGAUGGAUCGAGCGAUGGGAGAUUUGAUGAUAAACUCCAAAAUGGAGUUGGUGACAGUAUGGG